rnacentral:lncRNA from 1 species
GGGGGUCAUCACAGACAAACAUGACAUUAAAUCGUUAUCACUGAACUAGUAUAUGUAUUGUUUAGGGCCAGUGAAGGACGCCUCGGGUGCGGGAAUUUUUCGCUGCAUUGAAGACCUGUUGGUGACCUUCUGCUGUUGUAUGUUUUUCUAUGGUCGGGUUGUUGUCUCUUUGACACAUUCCCCAUUUCCAUUCUCCAUUCUCAAUUUUAUUAUACGAACAAGAACAAACAGCUCUACGUUGCUUUGACAUUUAUCAAUUUUCAGGAAACAUUGCGAAAAAUGAUCUUCAAUAUUUCGAAAACAUGGAAUAAAAUUG